ACUCAGACGGGUUACACUGCUGAACUGAAGCGCGAACAUGGUACAGGUAAACGCAAUCAGAUAACACACCGAUGACAGGAGACCUGCGAGAAAAACACCUGGAACUCCAAACAAAACCAACAGGAGCAGAUCCUCACUAUUUAUAUUCAAUAAGAGAAGUAAUUUACGCUAACGUGGACUUCAAAAGCGCGGUCCGACCCAGAAAGCAGCGUUGCAGCUCCAGCAGUAAUUUAGUGAGUCAAUAAUUAUUUUAAAGUGUGUAAGACUAGAGUGUGUGUUGGAAACAAUGGUAAAACAGGAGCACACACACACACACACACACACACACACACACACACACACACACACACACACACAGUGUGACCUUGACAAAGGGGAAGGCAGCUCCGGGUUUGAGCGGUUGGUUCUCGUGCUGUUGGUUGUAGCUGACGUACUGCUCCAGUCCCUCCUCCUCAUAGAGCUUCCUCUCCUCCACCAUGUUGAACAGAGUCCGAGACGACACGGCGAUCGUGAUUGCGGAGCUCGGCUUCGGCUGAGGAACACACACACACACACACACACGUAAACAAACAUCAGUAAAACAUCACACUACAGUAUAAGGAGAUAAACACAGAUAAUAAUACUAAAGUUUGAUCAGGGCUCAGUAUUCCAUCAUGUUAUAAACACCUGGUCUGUGUUUCACUCAUUAAGGAUGAAAAUAAAUCAAACUUCUGUAUCUGGAUUUCUGCUUUGUGAUGAUGGUCAGUGUUAAAAGUGUGAUAUAAAUAAAAUAAAGGUGGAAUUUCACUUCCUGAGCUGUUCAGGUUUAAAACAGCAAUCAGGUUUAGUCAGUAACGAUGAGAUCAGGAUUAAAUGUACUAUUUGUUCUGACACAGAAAGUCGUUCCUGUGUGAUUUCCUCGAGGUCUGAUUCCUGUAACGCUCCUCUCUCGUGUCUGAACACGCCAUCAGCUGCUCAACAUCAAACUGUACAGAAUUAAUAAACACAGCGCUCACCCCACCCCGCCCCACUCUGCCCCGCCCCACCGUACAUGGGCUACAGCGGAGCUCCACAAUCCAGUUAAACUUCUCGCUAUUAAAUCGUUACCCCUGAGUACAUGAGCGCACUGUUAACUCCGUUCUCUCCUAUUAGAGCUCUCAGGUCAUUCAGCCUCUGGGUCUGUUCACUGGUCCUGACCCGCUGACGAAACCAGACACUGAGCUCUAGUCUGAGCCCCAAACUCUGGACCAGUCUCCCUCUCACUGUGUCAGACUCCGCCCUUUAAUCCAGUCUGAUAUCAGUCCUUUAUAUGAAGGGUUCCUUGAUGGUUAACGACGUCUGACUCACGUUUUUAUUUUCACACCACCUGCUGUUCAGAUUUCGAAUGUCAAUUUUUUUUCUUCUUCAGUCUGCUCUCAUUACAGGUCGCCACAGUGGAUCUGUCCAUCUCUGAUUUGGCGAAGGUUUUACACCAGAUGCCCUUCCUGACGGAACCCUCCCCGAUCUACCCAGGCUUGAAACCAGCGCCGUGACACCAGGAUUCUCUGCUUCAUCCCACAGGAGCGCAGUUUACACAGGAAACCCUUCAGUCAGGACAUUUAAAUCAUCAGCUGUGGGAAGUGUGUGUGUGUUUACUAGAACUGCUCCCAUUUGUUCGGGGUCUCCACAGCGGAUCUGUUCCACAUAGGUUUUACACCAGAUGCCCUUCCUGAUGCAACCCUCCCCAAUCUAUCUGGGCUUGGGGCCAGCACUCAGUAUGCACUGACUUAUGCAACCCCAGUGGCUGGGGAUUUUACUGAAUCUGCAUGUCUUUGAACUGUGGGAAGAAACCAGAGCACCCGGAGGAAACCCACAGAGACACAGGGAGAACAUGCAAACUCCAAACAGAAAGGCUCCCUUCAGCUGUGAGGUUCGAACCUGGAACCUUCUUGCUGAACAGAGAUCAUUUCCAUGCUAAAUACACCCUCAGAAUGGAGAAGAAGAGCCUGGUCAGCUGCACAGUUACUCCCAUGAUUGAAAGUAAACAUCUCUCAUUACCUGUGAAACUAUCAUGGUGUUCCAAGUCCAAUUUUAUCUCUGCAUUUGUUGAUGCUGUUCCCCUGGAACAGCUGGGAACUUCCUGGAUGAAGCUGUGGCUGAGGUAUUGAAGAUACCACUCAUUCCCCACUGAGUGUCAAUGUGCGAGAUGGCACCCCAUUGCGAGAAUGAAAACUAACUAAACUUGCAAGAAGAGAUGGACCAAAGUAAGAGGGAGGUGGUCAUGGCCCCAGACAGAGACCAUCGAUGAGAUAUGAUGCCUGUUGGUUUGUACCACUUCCUAAGCUACCUCCAGCACUCAAAAGCACUGAAAUCCUGUUCAAGUUAGUAUUCAGACUGUAUGGUCUCCAUGACGACAUUGUCUUGGACCAAGGGGUCUAAUUUAUGUCCCAAGUAUGGCAAGCCUUUUGCAAAAAGUUUAACAUUAAAGUGCAUAUCACGGGUAAAUUCAGGAGCAAGAUCAAUGUAAUUCUCCUAUUUUAUAUUA